UGAUGCUUUUGUGGGGGAAACAGUUGGAAACGACUGCUAAUACCGCAUACGCCCUUUGGGGGAAAGAUUUAUCGCCAAGAGAUUAGCCCGCGUGAGAUUAGCUAGUUGGUAAGGUAACGGCUUACCAAGGCAACGAUCUCUAGCUGGUCUGAGAGGAUGAUCAGCCACACUGGAACUGAGACACGGUCCAGACUCCUACGGGAGGCAGCAGUGGGGAAUAUUGCGCAAUGGAGGGAACUCUGACGCAGCCAUGCCGCGUGAGUGAAGAAGGCCUUCGGGUUGUAAAGCUCUUUCAACUGUGAAGAUGAUGACGGUAACAGUAGAAGAAGCCCCGGCUAACUUCGUGCCAGCAGCCGCGGUAAUACGAAGGGGGCUAGCGUUGUUCGGAAUUACUGGGCGUAAAGGGCGUGUAGGCGGACAAAUCAGUCAGGGGUGAAAUCCCGGGGCUCAACCUCGGAACUGCCUUUGAUACUGUUUGUCUAGAGAUCGUGAGAGGAUAGCGGAAUACCCAGUGUAGAGGUGAAAUUCGUAGAUAUUGGGUAGAACACCAGUGGCGAAGGCGGCUAUCUGGCACGAUACUGACGCUGAUGCGCGAAAGCGUGGGGAGCAAAUGGGAUUAGAUACCCCAGUAGUC
rnacentral:rRNA from 1 species